AGUGCCAUUGCUGGGUCAUAUGGUAAGACUAUGUUUAGCUUUAUAAGAAACUGCCAAACUGUCUUCCAAAGUAGGCUGUACCAUUUUACAGUCCCACCAGCAAU
rnacentral:pre_miRNA from 1 species